GACGAACGCUGGCGGCGUGCUUAACACAUGCAAGUCGAACGUGAUUUUUAAGGAAAGCCCUUCGGGGUGGGAAUUAAAAUGAAAGUGGCGAACGGGUGAGUAACACGUGAGCAACCUACCUUACACAGGGGGAUAGCCGUUGGAAACGACGAUUAAUACCGCAUGAGACCACAGAAUCGCAUGAUAUAGGGGUCAAAGAUUUAUCGGUGUAAGAAGGGCUCGCGUCUGAUUAGCUAGUUGGAAGGGUAAAGGCCUACCAAGGCGACGAUCAGUAGCCGGUCUGAGAGGAUGAACGGCCACAUUGGAACUGAGACACGGUCCAAACUCCUACGGGAGGCAGCAGUGGGGAAUAUUGCACAAUGGGGGGAACCCUGAUGCAGCGACGCCGCGUGAGCGAAGAAGGUUUUCGAAUCGUAAAGCUCUGUCCUANGAGAAGAUAANGACG
rnacentral:rRNA from 1 species